UUCUCGUUUAAAAUUGGAGAGUGAUGAUAUUGGUAAAUACGCUUGCAUUUAAUUUUCAUUGAAAUAUUUGGCAUGCAAGUGUGAAACUAAGUAAAAACACGCCUUCGAGUGUAUAUUUUGUAAAUCUAAGAGAAUUUUUGAAAAAUAUAUAUUAUAAUGUGCCAAACUAUAGUGAAAUUUCCGAGAGCAAAUAAUUACAAAGUAUUUAUUUCCGCAAUAAUUGGGAGUUACAAAGGUUGUUCCUGACUCACUCCCUAACAUCUCCACCAUGUUUCAUUAAAUAAGUCAUUAUACUUUGCAUAAAAUUGCCCAUGUUGCAUUAUACCAAGCUCUACGCAAGUGUUCCUUUAUCAGAUAAGCUCCGCGAGCAAUCUAUUGUAGAAAUGCGCGAGAACCGUAAUGGCAUUGUUAUGCCUGGACUAACCGAAACCCAAGUGUCAUCAGUUCGAGAAACAACAGACUGUCUUUUGCGUGGCUCAUCAGGCCGCGUUGUUGCGGCAACUGCAAUGAACGAGCAGUCAUCGCGCUCACAUGCGAUUUUCACUAUCACCGUUGAGGCCACCAAGAAAGACGAAAUGAGCACAGUAACUACUUCAAAGUUCCAUUUAGUAGAUUUGGCUGGUUAAGAACGCUCUAAGAAGACAUAAGCUACAGGUGAUCGUUUAAGGGAGGGUCUUUUAACUCUGGGAAACGUAAUAUCGACACUUAGUUCUGGUCGGCUCUGGUUUUGUCCGCUAUCGGGAAUCCAAAUUGACUCGUUUGUUGCAAGACUCCCUAAGCCUGCGCCAGUCCGACCGACUAUAAUGUUGCUGAGACUUGACUGAGUACCCUUCGUUGUGCCUACGGUGCGCGUAAAAUUAAAAAUAAACCGAUCGUUAACCAAGAUCCACAUGUAGCCGAGAUUAAUCAAGAGUGUCAUACAAAAGAAACGUAUUGAACUGUUGGCCGCCAAUGGGGGAACUAAUACAAUGAGCAGGUACAUUACAAAGCAUUGAACUGCUACUGAGAACUCUGACGGUGGAGAUGAUGUAGAUGGCGCACUGUUAGAAGUUCACUCACAAAUGUAAGAGCAGGUGUUCUUUAUAAUCCAUCUGAAUGUUGGUGAAUGCAUCAGACGAACAUUCAGAUGGAUUAUAAAGAACAGCUGCGUCGUAUUCAUCGAAAAUAAACCUAAAAGAAGAACUUCACCAACGUGUUACCGGUAAUAGAAAUAAAAAUGAAUAAUAAAUACAAGGUGAAGUCCAAAAUAAACAAGACUGGUGUCAUAAAAAUGUUUUUAAUGACGCCAUAUUUUUAAUGAGUUAGUGCGUAGGAAGUUACAUCCUAGCUGACUAAGUCAGCCUGACUUCCAGUGAAAGCUUGGCGACAUUCGGUUCAGUGGAAGCGAAGUUAUUACUUCUAAAGUGUCAGUAUGUUUGUAUCAUCGGUACAAGCAUGAGUUCGAACAAAUAGUCUAAGAGCUGGUAAGCAUUUUUAAGCAGGUAUUUGAGGCACAAUGAAAAUCAUCUAGAAUACUUUUUUAUGAUAUCAGAAACGUAGACCUGGCUAAGCGGGGCUAAACCAACCCUUAAAUUAAAAAAAAAAAAAUAAUAAAUUUGGUAUGCAAAAAAUGUUCUUGAGUUACUUUGAAAAUUUAAUAUGUUAAAAUUGAAUGUUUGAAAAAUAAAAAAAAGAAGCCAGAAACUUUGGCAGGUGAUUGCAAAAUAAUUUUCUAAAAAGUGAAAAAAUGUUUUUGAGGCACGUUGAAAUUUUUACCACAUAUUACACUGUGCGACAGUGAUAUUAUACUUUUAUGGAGACCUGGCACAACUUGUAGGUAUAGUAAAACUAAGAAAUAUGGUAUAGGAGAAAUUUCCAAUACACCCCCAAAAUCUUAUUUUAUGGUCAAAAAACCGUUUUUCGAAAGGUUGAUGUGGACAAUCGCUUAUAACUUCACUAAUUUUAAUCCCAUUUUCAAUUGUUUUUUUUUAGUUCAAAAGAGCAAAAACAAACCUUUCCGAUAGUGUGUUGACAAUUUUUCUGACAGGAUCACUGACGGAAGUAUUUGGAAUUUUUUGAUUUUUUCUCUAUUUUUUAAAUUUUGACAUAAUUUUUACGAUAUUAUCCGAUAUUGAGGAUUUUUUUAGUACACUAUUAUUAUACAAUAGUAAAUUUAAUUUUGCGUCGAAUGAGCCAUAUUUGACUGUAAUUG